UUAACCAUUCCACGACUGUUUGGUUGAUAAGGAGAGAGAGGGAGAGAGAUAAAAGAAAAAGAGGGUUUCAUGACUUCCUUUUACCUGAGAACUCCAACAUCCAAGCUUCAAAUGGGAAACAACGAGUGGAUUUCAAACUCAAAGGACCAGACGCUUCUUCUUCUAUCACCCCUUCUUUUUUUUUUCCUAUGCUUGCAGCCCAGGUGUAGAGUGAUGAUAUUCUUUAUUUCCCUUCUUUUUUCUCUUUUCUGUUUGAUCUUGUCAUCUCCUUCUCUCCUCUUCUUCUUCUUGUCCGAUGUCCCUUUUUUUUUUUUUUUCUCUCUUUAUUUGUGUGGUAUGUAGCAUCUUUCUUCUUUGAUUCCCUUUUUUUUGUUUCUAUGCUUGCAACCCUGGUGGAAGAGUGACGGUACAACGACUGGGCACACCGAUGGCGGUGGCGAAGCAUGAAGCCAUGGGACAGACCGAUGGCGGUGGCAAAGCUUGAAGCACACUGUUCUCUCACGCCAUCUCCCAACAACUUUCCCUCCAAAGUCCCACCAAUUUGGUAGGACUUUGUGAGGUGUUGGGGUGGGAGAAUUGUACAUCCACGUCGACCGACAAGGGAGUGCACAAAUAUUUUUGUUGUCUUUUGAAAACCCCACCCCUAAUAACCAAACAACUUCAAAAGCGAUAGGGUGGUUAAAUCCCACCCCAUGUAACUCCCUGCUAAACAAACGGGGCCUUAAUUUAUUAUAAUAUGACGUGGCUUGGUAGAUUUUUUUUUAA